UAUUCUGCCCCAUGGGGAAGGAUGAGAAGCUUCGACUAAGGUUCGACUCGAGCGAAGCGAGAGAACGUUGCCGCAGGCAACGGCCCGAAGGGCGAGGCGCU
rnacentral:sRNA from 2 species